GCCUAGUUCGCCCAUUUCCGUUUGACGUUCUUUCUUUCGUUCUCAAAUCGUCGUUCCGACCAGAAGGAAAAUGAGAGCUAAGUGGCGUAAGAAGCGUAUGCGUAGGUUGAAGCGUAAGCGCAGGAAGAUGCGUGCAAGGUCCAAGUAAUCGCAGCGCCAUCGCCCACUGAAUGGAACUUUUGACCGCAGCCAACAUACCGAAACAUGCCGUCUGGGGUACCCGAUUGCGGGGGCCCACAUGUAAUUUUGCAAGACCAGUUUUCACACGAACGAACAUGUGCAUUUAGAAUUCACUUUGAAAUUUCACGUAAAAAUUGUUUCCAAUAAAUUACUGGAUUUUCGCAAAAGUUCCACAAAUGAA